GUGAAGUCGCUCAGUCAUGUCCGACUCUUUGCGACUUCAUGGACUGUAGCCUACUAGGAUCCUCAGUCCAUGGAGUUUUCCAGGCAAGAAUACUGGAGUGGGUUGCCAUUUCCUUCUCCAGGGGAUCUUCCCUACCCAGGGAUCAAACCUGGGUCUCCCGCAUUGUAGGCGGACGCUUUACCGUCUGAACUACCAGGGGAGCCCCCAACUGGUCUUAACCAGCUCAAUUACAACUGGAUGCCCAUGACUUCAAGUUGCUGGAAAAGAAUCAGGCGGACAUCUUACUCUCCAGACCGUAAGCUUCUCGGAAGACUUACAUUUGUGGAAUGCCAGACACCAUUCUGGGUUCUCAGGACACAGAAGUGGGAAUAGCAGAGGAAUCGCAACUCCCCAAAUGCAUGCUGUAGAAGUCACAGGUCCAGAAACCCUCCCACGUUCCCAAGAAUGGAAUUGCUGGUGUUGGUUCAUAACCUCAGGACCUUUUGGGGUAAAAUCUGAAGUUGGUCCCACAGAAAGUAAGGAGAGACCCAAGAAAGAGGCGGAUGGUGCCGGAUUGAUAAGUGGCAGUUUUAAGAACCAAAGGACUUUUACGUUGCUUGUCCCGGGGGUGGGAAGAUGAGCAGAUCUCCAUGCCUGGAGCCUUAAAAGUUUAUACAGAUGCCUUAAAGUUCAUUCACUUGCACAUCCAGAAGGUCUCAGCAACCCGUUGCUAUCUCAAGGCUGUGUCCUUGAGGCAGCUUCUAGGUUGGGGAAAGCAAGGAGAUUGUUGGGGAAAGCAAGUGGACAGGGGAAGGGGUGAGGAGCUUCUGAUGCCAGCAUCCAGCUCUGGGGACAAUCAGUGGUCAAUAUCCUCUCCAUGACCCCUUCCAGCAGCUGACCAUGUGGUAGUUCUCUUUAAUUUUUCAAGGAGCUACUAUAUUGCUUCCCACAGUGGCUGUACCAUUUUAUAUUCCCAUGAGCAGUGUGCAAGUGUUUCAGUUUCUCCACAUCCUUGCCAACACUUGUUAUUUUGAAUUUUUUUCCUUAGAAACCAUCCUAAUGAAGUGAUAUUCCACUGCAGUUUUGACUUGCAUAUCCCUAAUGAAGCAUGAUGUUGAACAUCUCUUCAUAUGUUUAUGGGAUAUUUGUGUAUCUUCUUUAGAGAAAUGUCUACUCAAGUCCUUUUAAAUCAGGUUGUUUGUUUCUUGUUGUUGUAGCUUUUUAUAUAUUCUGGAUAUUAAUCCCUUAUCAUAUAUAUAAUUUAUAAAUAUUUUCCCCCAAUUCCAUGAGCUGCCUUUUCACUUUGUUGGUAGGGCCCCUUUAUGCACAAACCAUUUUUAAUUUUGAUGAAGUCCCACUUGUCCAUUUUUUCCUUUCAUUGGCUCUGUUUUUGGGUCAUGGUCAACAAAUCAUUGCCUAAUCAGUGUCAUGAAACUUUUCCUCUAUGAUGGUUUUUAGAAAGCUUUUUAAUAGUUUUGGCUCUUAAAUUUGCAUAAUUUGGUAUGUUUGUGUCUUGGAUGUAAAAAAUUUCACUAAGGCUGUUUCUUAAAGAACAGGAAUGUGAUAUUUUAUUCAAUAAAUAAUUGAUUAAAACAUUUCAUUUAAAUAUGACAAAUAAUCAAGGGAGCAAAAAAAGAGAAAGGUUAAGAGGGUAAAAAGUGUGAGACAGUGAGGGAGGAAGACAGAGCAGAAGAAGGUGGAGAAGGGAAAACAGGGAAAAGAAACCUCAGAUAGUUGAAGAAGCAAAGAUCUGUUUUAUUAAUCCUAUUCUUUGAAAAUAUACCUCCUGCCAGCAUUUGUUAUAAUAGAAUAUAUAUUUUAUUG